UGUUUCAAAUUUUUCAGAUGGUAAGUUGCCAUUCCACUUAUGUGUAAUGGUAUCUCAGGAUCUAUGUGGUUUCUAGGUACCGAACUGUACUUUAAAGAUGCCAGCUGCAUUUUUCAGGGACAUUUCUGGUUGCCAGCUCCUGUUCCCAGGCUCAUAGUUCCCUGGCUGACAGGCAAUUUCUCUAUCAGUAUUUUCAUCAGACAUUUUUUCAGUUCAGUAUUUUUCCUCUUCAAACCAGGUCAUUUUUAUGGCUGUUCACAUCACUGGGUAGAGCGGAAUCCAGUAGAAAUUAUGUCUGUCUGUUUGUGUGUCUGCUCCUGCUUGUAGAUCAGAGUAUAUCCACACAUAAGACAGGACAGAGAACAGUGAUCAGGCACAGGGCUCAGUCCAGGCAGACCAGUGGCUUGUUAAUACUAAACCAGCCUUUUUUAUGCCCUUUCACACCACACUGGUUCUUCCUAUAUAAAGGCAAGACCCUUCCUUUUUCUUGCCCUUGUCUCCCCACACAGUAAAAAUACCCAGAACUGAUAUAGUCUAAGAUCUUUACCUGCAUCAUAGAUGGUCCUUAAAUGGUAUCAUUUGUGUGGUUACUAAAUCACUGAUGGUCUUUCAAAGAUAGUCAAUGCCUACCUUCCUCUGUCUGUAACAUUUGGAACAAAUCCCCUUUAGUCAUCUCUGAGAUCCAGCCAUGUUGCAGCAGACCUCUCAGUAGGUCUCAACAGACUCUCAUUCAACAAUAUAAAAAGGGUCCCAGUUUAUUCUUCUAUUACAGCUUUGCCAUCCUGACUCUGACUACAGCAAGCUCCUACUGUAGGGUCCAGCUGCAGACUCUGACUGUGGCUAUUUCCUGCUGGGCUGUGGCUGCAAGUGUUGGUUUGCAGGCUCUGAACACAGCUUUCACCCAGCUCAGCUGUGACUGCAGGCUCCAACAGCAGCUCUGACUCCAUCAGACCCAGACUGACCCCACAGCAGAUCUUUCACUACAGCAACUCUCUUCCAUGUUUUGUUCUUCUUUGUGUCUCUCUGAAUCGUUCUAUCUUCCUCAGGACUCCACCACCUCUUUAAGGCCCUCUUCUUCAUGGUCCCCCAACCAGA
rnacentral:lncRNA from 12 species